rnacentral:rRNA from 1 species
AUUGAACGCUGGCGGCAUGCUUUACACAUGCAAGUCGAACGGCAGCGCGGGCUUCGGCCUGGCGGCGAGUGGCGAACGGGUGAGUAAUACGUCGGAACGUGCCCAGUAGUGGGGGAUAGCUCGGCGAAAGCCGGAUUAAAACCGCAUACGACCUGAGGGUGAAAGCGGGGGAUCUUCGGACCUCGCGCUAUUGGAGCGGCCGAUGGCAGAUUAGCUAGUUGGUGGGGUAAAGGCCUACCAAGGCGACGAUCUGUAGCUGGUCUGAGAGGACGACCAGCCACACUGGGACUGAGACACGGCCCAGACUCCUACGGGAGGCAGCAGUGGGGAAUUUUGGACAAUGGGCGAAAGCCUGAUCCAGCAAUGCCGCGUGUGUGAUGAAGGCCUUCGGGUUGUAAAGCACUUUUGGCGGGAACGAAAAGGACUGUGCCAAUACCACGGUUCGAUGACGGUACCCGCAGAAUAAGCACCGGCUAACUACGUG